rnacentral:rRNA from 1 species
AACGAACGCUGGCGGCAUGCCUAACACAUGCAAGUCGAACGAGACCUUCGGGUCUAGUGGCGCACGGGUGCGUAACGCGUGGGAACCUGCCCUUAGGUUCGGAAUAACUCCCCGAAAGGGGUGCUAAUACCGGAUAAUGUCUUCGGACCAAAGAUUUAUCGCCUUUGGAUGGGCCCGCGUUGGAUUAGCUAGUUGGUAGGGUAAAAGCCUACCAAGGCGACGAUCCAUAGCUGGUCUGAGAGGAUGAUCAGCCACACUGGGACUGAGACACGGCCCAGUCUCCUACGGGAAGCAGCAGUGGAGAAUAUUGGACAAUGGGCGAAAGCCUGAUCCAGCAAUGCCGCGUGAGUGAUGAAGGCCUUAGGGUUGUAAAGCUCUUUUACCCGGGAUGAUAAUGACAGUACCGGGAGAAUAAGCUCCGGCUAACUCCGUG